GACGAACGCUGGCGGCGUGCUUAACACAUGCAAGUCGAACGGAAAGGCCCUGCUUUUGUGGGGUGCUCGAGUGGCGAACGGGUGAGUAGCACGUGAGUAACCUGCCCUUGACUUUGGGAUAACUUCAGGAAACUGGGGCUAAUACCGGAUAGGAGCUCCUGCUGCAUGGUGGGGGUUGGAAAGUUUCGGCGGUUGGGGAUGGACUCGCGGCUUAUCGGCUUGUUGGUGGGGUAGUGGCUUACCAAGGCUUUGACGGGUAGCCGGCCUGAGAGGGUGACCGGCCACAUUGGGACUGAGAUACGGCCCAGACUCCUACGGGAGGCAGCAGUGGGGAAUAUUGCACAAUGGGCGGAAGCCUGAUGCAGCAACGCCGCGUGCGGGAUGACGGCCUUCGGGUUGUAAACCGCUUUCGCCUGUGACGAAGCGUGAGUGACGGUAAUGGGUAAAGAAGCACCGGCUAACUACGUG
rnacentral:rRNA from 1 species